rnacentral:ncRNA from 1 species
AUGCAUGGAAUAAUGGAAUAGGACCUCGGUUCUAUUUUGUUGGUUUUCGGAGCGCGAGGUAAUGAUUAAGACUUAAGAGAGACAGACAGGGGCAUUCGUACUGUGCCGUUAGAGGUGAAAUUCUUGGAUUGGCGCAAGACGAACGAUUGCGAAAGCAUUUGCCAAAAAUGCUUUCUUUAAUCAAAAGCGAAAGCCAGAGGUUCGCUAAAUUAGAGUGUUAAAGUUCUGCUAAAGGGUAACAUUUGUUUUUGUAUUGUUUAUAGUAUGAGAAUGGUAAUAUGUCAGUAUUGGUGC